rnacentral:misc_RNA from 1 species
AACGCACCUUGCGCUCCCCCCCUGGGGGAGCAUGCCUGUUUGAGAAUCGCCAAGGACCUGGCCACCAGUCGGGGGCCGCGUUGGGGGGUCAGGCUCUAUGGGUCUGUCUCUCUAAAUCGAGGGCAAGGACCGCAGCGUCCGUGUGCUGGAGACAGCCGGUCUACUCACGGCGCGCUGCGGACACCCGCCGACACGCACAUCAGCACCUCUUUGAUCUCAAAUCAGGCAGGACCACCCGCCGAACUUAA